rnacentral:rRNA from 1 species
CAAGUCGAACGCGAAAGUCCCCUUCGGGGGACAAGUAGAGUGGCGCACGGGUGAGUAACACGUAGGUAAUCUACCUUCGGAUGGGGAAUAACAACCGGAAACGGUUGCUAAUACCGCAUAAUGCAGCGGCACCUAAUGGUGACAGUUGUUAAAGCGGGGGAUCGCAAGACCUCGCGUCUGAAGAGGAGCCUGCGGCGGAUUAGCUAGUUGGUAAGGUAAUGGCUUACCAAGGCGACGAUCCGUAACCGGCCUGAGAGGGCGGUCGGUCACACUGACACUGACAUACGGGUCAGACUCCUACGGGAGGCAGCAGUCGGGAAUUUUGGGCAAUGGGCGCAAGCCUGACCCAGCAACGCCGCGUGAAGGAUGAAAUCCCUCGGGAUGUAAACUUCGCAAGAACGGGAAGAAUAAGUCUGUGUAAAUACCACAGAUGAUGACGGUACCGUUUGUAAGCUCCGGCUAACUCCGUGCCAGCAGCCGCGGUAAUACGGGGGGAGCAAGCGUUGUUCGGAUUUACUGGGCGUAAAGGGCGCGUAGGCGGCCAGCGCAAGUCAGUUGUGAAAUCUCCGAGCUUAACUCGGAAAGGUCAACUGAUACUGCGCGGCUAGAGUGCAGAAGGGGCAACUGGAAUUCUUGGUGUAGCGGUGAAAUGCGUAGAUAUCAAGAGGAACACCUGCGGCGAAGGCGGGUUGCUGGGCUGACACUGACGCUGAAGCGCGAAAGCUAGGGGAGCGAACGGGAUUAGAUACCCCGGUAGUCCUAGCCUUAAACGAUGAAUGCUUGGUGUCUGGGGUUAUAAAGUCCCCGGGUGCCGUC